rnacentral:rRNA from 1 species
UACGGGGGGGGCAAGCGUUGUUCGGAAUUACUGGGCGUAAAGGGCUCGUAGGUGGCCAACUAAGUCAGACGUGAAAUCCCUCAGCUUAACUGGGGAACUGCGUCUGAUACUGGAUGGCUUGAGUUUGGGAGAGGGAUGCGGAAUUCCAGGUGUAGCGGUGAAAUGCGUAGAUAUCGGGAAGAACACCCGUGGCGAAGGCGGUUCUCUGGGACGGUACUGACGCUGAGACGCGAAAGCGUGGGGAGCGAACAGG